rnacentral:tRNA from 1 species
GAGCGAUUGGCGGAAUGGGCAUACGCAACGGAUUUAGGCUCUGUGUUCUACAGGUUCGAGUCCUGUAUCGCUUACCA